rnacentral:rRNA from 1 species
AGCGAACGCUGGCGGCAGGCCUAACACAUGCAAGUCGAACGAACCUUUCGGGUUAGUGGCGGACGGGUGAGUAACACGUGGGAACGUGCCUUUAGGUUCGGAAUAACUCAGGGAAACUUGUGCUAAUACCGAAUGUGCCCUUCGGGGGAAAGAUUUAUCGCCUUUAGAGCGGCCCGCGUCUGAUUAGCUAGUUGGUUGAGGUAAUGGCUCACCAAGGCGACGAUCAGUAGCUGGUCUGAGAGGAUGAUCAGCCACAUUGGGACUGAGACACGGCCCAAACUCCUACGGGAGGCAGCAGUGGGGAAUCUUGCGCAAUGGGCGAAAGCCUGACGCAGCCAUGCCGCGUGAAUGAUGAAGGUCUUAGGAUUGUAAAAUUCUUUCACCGGGGACGAUAAUGACGGUACCCGGAGAAGAAGCCCCGGCUAACUUCGUG